GUCAUUUUACAUUUCAAGUUUUACUAACAACCCUUACUUUUAUGUAUUUAACCUACUUGUGAUUUAAUUACAUAUGUUUUAUUUUAAUUAAGUAUUUUAUGUAUUUUAGGGGCAUUAUAGUCAUUUCACAAUAAACGAGAAAUCAGAUGGCAAAACAGACAUCACUUUUGAACUCAGGACGGUCGAAAACCUUAGGAGGAGCAUAAAAGGAAAAAUGGCACUGUUCACAUGUACGGUACUAUUCACGUGUGGCAUUGACUGAUGAGGUGUCACGAUCCUGUUGGACUAAAAUUCUUAUAUACUGUUGAUGGUGACGUGGCAGCAUAUCAGUGGACGAAAAAUCUCGCAUACGGUGCAUGCAUCACACAGGAUUAUUU
rnacentral:lncRNA from 1 species